UACAGAGGGCUCAAGCGUUGUUCGGAUUCAUUGGGCGUAAAGGGUGCGUAGGCGGCGCGGUAAGUCAGGGGUGAAAUCUCGGAGCUUAACUCCGAAACUGCAUUCGAUACUGCCGUGCUUGAGGACUGGAGAGGAGACUGGAAUUUACGGUGUAGCGGUGAAAUGCGUAGAUAUCGUAAGGAAGACCAGUGGCGAAGGCGGGUCUCUGGACAGAACCUGACGCUGAGGCACGAAGGUCAGGGGAGCAAACGGG
rnacentral:rRNA from 1 species